UGGUAUAAAUGUAAGUGCCAGAGGGUCUGCUUACCAGUUACAGUUCAAGCAAUUGAGAGUAAUCUACAAUGAAGGUCCUAGCAACAGUCCUGGUUCUCUGCAUCGCCGUUGCAGCCGUGAUGGCGCAUGUCCCCUAUGUGCGGCCCCACUAUGGGGUCUACCCGGAGCCGUAUGGCUACGCAGAGCCUUACUAUCGUACUGGGCUGUAUUAUCCACGCGCUGAGCCAUAUUUCAACAAUUUUGGCUACAAAGGAUAGAUGCCUGGCGAAAGAUGAAGCUGUCGCGCCGCAGAUGUUGCAGCAUUUACGGAAUUACAUGUGACGCUUUGAAUAAAUAAUUCGAAGUC